rnacentral:rRNA from 1 species
UGCCAGACUCCUACGGGAGGCAGCAGUGAGGAAUAUUGGUCAAUGGCCGGGAGGCUGAACCAGCCAAGUCGCGUGAGGGAAGACGGCCCUACGGGUUGUAAACCUCUUUUGUCAGGGAGCAAGGUGCAGGUCGGGACCUGCUGUGAGAGUACCUGAAGAAAAAGCAUCGGCUAACUCCGUGCCAGCAGCCGCGGUAAUACGGAGGAUGCGAGCGUUAUCCGGAUUUAUUGGGCUUAAAGGGCGCGUAGGCGUCUCUUAAAGCCGGGGGUAAAGUGGGGGGGCCAACCCCCUCCCCGCCAUUGAAACUGGCGCUCUUGAGUGGAAGAGAAGUAUGCGGAAUGCGUGGUGUAGCGGUGAAAUGCAUAGAUAUCACGCAGAACCCCGAUUGCGAAGGCAGCAUGCCGGCUUCCGACUGACGCUGAAGCACGAAAGCGUGGGGAUCGAACAGGAUUAGAUACCCCAGUAUU